CCACAGACCAGGUACAGCAUGGGUAGUGGCUCUGCACAUUUAUCCCUUCCAUUCCACCCCUGUGCCUCGUCCCUGAGCUGGUGGGGUCCCUCUAGAG
ensembl:misc_RNA